UUAUAAUCACCUCUUUAUACCUACCAUAACUCAACGGUAUUCAGUAAAAAGUUUUUCCUCUCAGUCGCUCUGCAAUUAUUCAGUGAAAAAGGGAGGCGCUUGUAAAUGCAAUCAGUGGAUAUCGUGAUGGAAAAGGGGAAUAAGACCGAUCGGAAUGGUGAACCCCAUUGCCCGAUGAAUCACUCUUCGAUCCUCUCGAUUUUUCACAUCUCGGUUGAAUCUACGUAUGAAGGCAGAGCUCUGGGGAGAGAAUCAUUUACUCAAAGUGGACAAAUACUUGAAACUUGAAAUGUUUGACUUGAUGGAUCAAUAGUCAAGAGUGGGACCGUGUACCUUGGAAUUUCUGAAGUUCAAGCGCCAUUGUCGGAGGAAAAAUGGCGUGAGGGAUUCCAUCUUCCUUGAAGAGCUCCAUUGGUGAUAAAUAACAGGUACCAUGGGAAAUGUUGGAAUGGUUACGGAUGAAUUUGACUUUCCCAGGGGAACGGAAUUUCAAUGUCUACGAUGAGCAAUUCUGAAUCACGUAGCGCAAGUUUAUCGACCAUCAAAGUAUUCAGGCCUAAAUCUCGGGGCAUCUUACAUUUUUGAAGAGGGAAGGAAUUACUACAGGCAAUUGGCUGCCUCCAGGAAAAGUGGAACACGGACUAUCGUGAGUCAAUCAUGAUAUUAGCUAGUCGA